AUUGAACGCUGGCGGCAUGCCUUACACAUGCAAGUCGAACGGCAGCACGGGUGCUUGCACCUGGUGGCGAGUGGCGAACGGGUGAGUAAUACAUCGGAACAUGUCCUGUAGUGGGGGAUAGCCCGGCGAAAGCCGGAUUAAUACCGCAUACGAUCUACGGAUGAAAGCGGGGGACCUUCGGGCCUCGCGCUAUAGGGUUGGCCGAUGGCUGAUUAGCUAGUUGGUGGGGUAAAGGCCUACCAAGGCGACGAUCAGUAGCUGGUCUGAGAGGACGACCAGCCACACUGGGACUGAGACACGGCCCAGACUCCUACGGGAGGCAGCAGUGGGGAAUUUUGGACAAUGGGCGGAAGCCUGAUCCAGCAAUGCCGCGUGUGUGAAGAAGGCCUUCGGGUUGUAAAGCACUUUUGUCCGGAAAGAAAUCCUUGGCUCUAAUACAGUCGGGGGAUGACGGUACCGGAAGAAUAAGCACCGGCUAACUACGUG
rnacentral:rRNA from 1 species